AGCGGAGUGGUGUAAUGGAUAACAUAUCAGUCCGGUCUAUUGAAGGCGUUGGUUCGUUCCCAGACGCCGAUU